rnacentral:rRNA from 1 species
AAAUUGAAGAGUUUGAUCAUGGCUCAGAUUGAACGCUGGCGGCAGGCCUAACACAUGCAAGUCGAACGGUAACAGGAAGCAGCUUGCUGCUUCGCUGAUGAGUGGCGGACGGGUGAGUAAUGUCUGGGAAACUGCCUGAUGGAGGGGGAUAACUACUGGAAACGGUAGCUAAUACCGC